GCUCUAGUAGCUUAAUCACAAAGCACCGGUCUUGUAAUCCGGAGAUUGAGGGCUAAAUCCCCCCCUAGUGCC
rnacentral:tRNA from 1 species